rnacentral:lncRNA from 1 species
GUUAACAGUGGCAGUUAUUAAAAUAAAUAUUCAUUUUGGCUUUGUAAUUCUAUAUAAACAUAUAUCCUCAAAAUGUCAAUGAAAAAACUGGGAUGUUUGUAAUAUGGUUUUAACUGUUUUUGAUUCUUUGCUCCUAUUCCAACUACAAUUUUCUUGUUGAUCCAAUGCCAGGGUAAGAAAAUAACAUAUUUUCCGGUUCAAAUCAACCUUCUGCGAGGUUCAAAGGACUUUUUUCUAGUUCUACUUAGAUAGUAAGUAAAGGUUUUAUUUAUGUCAACAAAGUACUUAAUGCUCCAAGUAUAUGAAAAUGUCAGUUAGAAUUUGAAAGCAAUAUUGGGCCAAUUGCAAUGUGAUAAUCUGCU